rnacentral:rRNA from 1 species
UACGGGGGGUGCGAGCGUUGUCCGGAAUUAUUGGGCGUAAAGAGCUCGUAGGCGGUCUGUCGCGUCGGUUGUGAAAACCUGAGGCUCAACCUCAGGCCUGCAAUCGAUACGGGCAGACUAGAGUACUGCAGGGGAGACUGGAAUACUUGGUGUAGCAGUGAAAUGCGUAGAUAUCAAGUGGAACACCAGUGGCGAAGGCGAGUCUCUGGACAUUUCCUGACGCUGAGGCACGAAAGCCAGGGGAGCAAACAGG